AUUUGGCAGACAUUAUUUGCUGCCCAUCCAAAAGCCAUUUCUGCUCCCUUUCUUCCUUGCUAAAGAAUCCUUGAAUCUGUUCAGAUAUUAGAAGGUCAUGAGUUGAGGGAAAGCAUGUUGAUUGGUGUUCCCUUUCCCAUGAUUGCUAUAAGCACACAUAUGUGACACAACCAUGGUGAUGAAAAGAAAUCAGCUGUGGUUGGUGGUGAUAGCAAAGUGUAAGCUUUCAUUGAUACAGAGGCUUACUCAUUUCUGCCUUUGGUUAUUGUGCUGCUUCUGCUUGCUGUAGCCUUCCUGUUUCAAUGAUGAGAAGGCCAAAGGAAUCUGUGAGCUGACCCAGAGCCCGCAUGUUGUUGACAAGCCACAGAGUUGCCCAACCUCUUUUAUUGUUAUUUUGAUUCAGGGAAUUCCUGAAGAUUCUGAAAUUGUGAACUGACAAGCCCAUGGAUGUCUACAAAGAGUGAACUGAUCACUGUGGGCUGGCCUUUGAGGCAUCAGUGAGGCAUUGUGGCUCUGGAGACCUGGAAGCACUGCUAACUGUUCUCUCGAUUUUCUGACGCUCGGCCACAUCAACCUGUCAUACUAGUUGUGAGGAGAAGUCAAGGACAGUGACACAGCCAGCCAGUCUGAGGCAUUUUCCAUCAUCCUGAAGGAGUUGCCCUAUCCUGCUUUUCACUGGAGGGGGCAUGGAUGGAUCUGGAAUGUAUAAUUGGAGUAGACAUUCUCAGCAGCUGGCGGAAACCCCGCAUUGGUUCCAUGACAUGUGGAAUGAAGGCUACGAUGGUAGGAAAAGAUAAGUGGAAGCUGCUAAAACUGCAUUUACCUUGAAAAAUAUUAAACACAAAGAAACACUACAUUCCUGGAAAGACUGCACCAUCAAGGACUUGAAAGACUCAGGGACGGGGUGAUUCUUAUGUUCUCACUCAACUUGCCUGUGCGGGAGUCAGAUGAAUCUUGGAGAAUGACAGUGGAUUAUUAUAAGCUUAACUAGGUGAUGACUCCAAUUGCAGCUGCUGUACUGGAUGUGGUUUCAUUGCUCGAGCAAGUUAAUACAUCCCCUGGUACCUAGUAUGCAGCUAUUGAUCUAGCAAAUGCCUUUUUCUCCUUACCUCUCAAUAAGAACAACCAGAAUCAGUUUGCUUUUAGCUAGUAAGGUCAGCAAUAUAGCUUCACUGUGCUGCAUCAGGGGUAUGUUAAUUCUCUACCACUAUGUCAUAAUUUAGUUUGCAGGAAUCUUUAUCACCUUUCCCUUCCAAAAGAUAUCACACUAGUCUAUUACACUGGUGACAUGAUGCUGAUUUGACGUAGUGAGCAAGAAGUAGCAACUACUCUAUAGUUAUUGGUAAGACAUUUGCAUGUCAGAGAAUGAAUUUUCAAGAAAAUUCAGUGAAAUUUCUAGGGGUCAGUAUGUGGAGCAUGUGAGAUAUUACUUCUAAGGUAAAGGAUAAGUUGAUGUAUUUGCCUCACCUUCAACCAUAAAAGAGGAACAAUGCCUAGUGGGCCUCUUUGGAUUCUGGAGGCAACAUACUCCUUAUUUGAGUGUGUUACUCUAGUCCAUUUACUGAGUAAACUGCUUUUCACUAGUUUUCAGUGAGGCCCAGAACAAGAAGAGACUCUGCAACAAGUCUAGGCUGCUGUGCAAGCUGCUCUGUCACUUGGGCCUUAUGAUCCGGUAGAUCCAAUGGUGCUUGAAGUGUCAGUGGUAGACAGGGAUGCUGUCUGGAGCCUUUGAUGGGCCCCCUAUUGGUGAAUCACAGUGCGGAUCCUUAGGAUUUUGGAACAAAGCCCUGAUAUCUUCUGUGGAUAACUACUCUCCUUUUGAGAAACAGUUCUUAGUUUGCUACUGGGCCUUAGUAGAGACUUAAUACUUAACUAUGCACUACUAAGUUACUAUUUGACCUGAGCUUCCCACCAUGAACUGAGUGUUGUCUUACUCGCAAAGCCAUGAAGUUGGGCAUGCACAGCAGCACUCCAUCAUCAAAUGGAAGUACUUUGUAUGAGAUUAGGUCAAAUCAGGCUCUUGGCACAAGUAAGUUACAUGAAAAGAAGGGGCCUAAUUGUCAUGGCACCCACUCCUAUUACAGGACCUUCUCUCUCCCGCCUGCUUCUGUGGCCUCACAGGGGAGCUCCUUGUGAUCAGUUGAUAGAGGAAAAAAGACUCAGGCCUGAUUUACAGAAGAUUCUGCAUGAUAUACAGCUACCACCUGAAAGUGGGCAGCUGCAGAACUGCAGACCUUCUCUGAAACAUUCCUCAAGGACAAUGGUGAAGAAAAAUCCUUCCAGUAGGCAGAACUUCAAGCAGUGCACCUGAUUGUUCACUUUGCUUGGGAGAAAAGGUAGGACAUGUGACUGUACACUGAUUCAUGGACUGUGGCCAAUGGUUUGGUAGAUGGUCAAGGACUUGAAAGGAACAUGACUGGAAUAUUGGUGAGAAGGAAAUUUGGGGAAGAAGUAUGUGGAUAGAUCUCUCUCAAUGGGCAAAAAACCAUGAAGAUAUUUGUGUCCCAUGUAAAUAUUUACAAAAGGAUAACCUCAGCAGAGGAAGACUGUAAUAAUAAAGUGGAUAGAAUAGCCCAUUCUGUAGCUACCACUCAGCUUCUUUCUCCAGCCAACCCUGUUCAUUGCCCAAUGGGCUCAUGAACAAAGUGGCCAUUGUGGCAAAAAAGGGGGGUUAUGCAUAGGCUCAGCGACAUAGACUCCUACUCACCAAGACCAACCUGGCUACAGCCACCACUGAGUUCUUAAUCUGCUAGAAGCAGAAACCAACACCGAGUCCCUAAUAUGGCACCAAUCCUCAUGGUGGCCAGCCAGCUCCUGGGUGGCAGGUUGAUUAUAUUGGACUGCUUCCAUCAUGGAAGAGACAGCAGUUUGUCCUCACUGAAAUAGAUAUUUACACUGGAUAUACAUUUUUCUUCCUGCACACAAUGCUUCUCCCAAAACUACCAUCCAUGGACUUACGGAAUGCUUUAUCCACCAUCUUGGUAUUCCACACAGCAUUGCUUCUGACUAAGGAACUUACUUCACUGCCAAAGAAGCAUGGCAAUGGGUAUAUGCUCAUGGAAUUCCCUGGUCUUACCAUGUUUCCUGCCAUCCUAUAGCUGCUGGCUUGAUAGAGUGGUGGAAUGGUUUUUUGAAAUCACAGUUGUAAUUCCAGCACUUUGGGAGGCUGAGGUGGGUGGAUCACCUGAGGUCAGGAGUU
rnacentral:lncRNA from 1 species